rnacentral:rRNA from 1 species
AUUGAACGCUGGCGGCAGGCCUAACACAUGCAAGUCGAACGGUAACAGGAAGCAGCUUGCUGCUUUGCUGACGAGUGGCGGACGGGUGAGUAAUGUCUGGGAAACUGCCCGAUGGAGGGGGAUAACUACUGGAAACGGUAGCUAAUACCGCAUAACGUCGCAAGACCAAAGAGGGGGACCUUAGGGCCUCUUGCCAUCGGAUGUGCCCAGAUGGGAUUAGCUAGUAGGUGGGGUAACGGCUCACCUAGGCGACGAUCCCUAGCUGGUCUGAGAGGAUGACCAGCCCCACUGGAACUGAGACACGGUCCAGACUCCUACGGGAGGCAGCAGUGGGGAAUAUUGCACAAUGGGCGCAAGCCUGAUGCAGCCAUGCCGCGUGUAUGAAGAAGGCCUUCGGGUUGUAAAGUACUUUCAGCGGGGAGGAAGGGAGUAAAGUUAAUACCUUUGCUCAUUGACGUUACCCGCAGAAGAAGCACCGGCUAACUCCGUG